rnacentral:lncRNA from 1 species
AAGUUGUAAGCCAGAGAAAGUAGAGGAGCGAUGCAAUGAAGCAUUAAAAAAAAAAAAAAAGAUUUAUUUAUUAUUAUACAUAAGUACACUGUAGCUGUCUUCAGACACCAGAAGAGGGCGUCAGAUCUCACUCCGGGUGGUUGUGAGCUACCAUGUGGUUGCUGGGAUUUGAACUCAAGGACCUUUGGAAGAGCAGUCAGUGGUCUUACCACUGAGCCAUCUCGCUAGCCCAAUGAAGCAUUUUAAUAGAGAAACAGGACACUGAUUUUGAGGAUCCUGACUCCAAAGCUAAUGUCCUUCUUCAGUCUAUUAUCCUGAUACUCGCAGCAAUUAAGCUUCAUAAUGACAUUUUUUUUUCAUUUAUUUCAGUUCUAUCAAGGAAAGAAAAAUACAAUUUAAUUCCAGAGACAGGAUUGCAGUCAACACAAUAUAAGGUAUAUUCUUGGUUUGGAAUGCAGGAUUCAAAUUGUUAGAAAAGUAGUCCGCAGAUUGACCUGAAGUUUAAGGAUAAAUGUGUGUUUCCAGUCCAGUGGGGUAACUGAUUGUCUUUCACACUCUUUGGAUAGCUCAUGACCCAAGCAUUUGUCAAAUGGUCACUUCUCAUUUGCUUUCUUUGACUUAAAAGACUUAAUUCAAAUAUAUCAAGUUCCUGUAUAUUUGAGACUGUAUAGAAUUAUAAUUAUUUUAUUGCUAAUCAAUAAUUGUCAUGGUUUUAGUGUAAGUUCUCUAGUGAACUCCUGAAUUCCAGGGGGUAUUAGUGUUUGGAGUCACAAAAUUAUUCUGGUGCUACCUUACCUGUGACUGUAAGCUCUCGACCUGAUAAUUGUUUGAUAAUCAUAAUCCUGAGGCCAGUGAAUUUAGCUCAGUAAAGAAUCUGGUUCAAGUAUUUUUCCUUUUUAGAAAACUGAUUGUGUCAGUUGUUUUGUUCGAUUUUGUUGGUUUGGUUUGGUUUGGUUUGGUUUGGUUUUCUGAGACUGGGUUUUUCUGUAUAGCCCUGGCUGUUCUGGAACUAGCUAUGUUGACCAGGCUGGCCUCAAACUUACAGAGCUCCUCCUGCCUCUGCCUCCCUAGUGCUAGGAUUAAAGGCAUGCACUACAACCACCUGUCUCUGUGUCAAAUUUUUUGAUCUAAUAUGUUCCAGUAAUUUUAUAAAUAACUUUAGUACUAUGAACAAUUUAUCCAUUGUGAUAAAUACACAUGAGAUGCAUAUUUUUCUUUUUGGGGAAAAUCAUGCCUUAUCACUAGUAAAAGUUUAAAAUUGUGAUAUUUAAUACUGGGUGUGUAACAAUGGCAGUUU